CCUACGGGAGGCAGCAGUGGGGAAUAUUGGACAAUGGGGGGAACCCUGAUCCAGCCAUGCCGCGUGUGUGAAGAAGGCCCUCGGGUUGUAAAGCACUUUCAGUGAGGAAGAACGCCUGGUGGUUAAUACCCAUCAGGAAAGACAUCACUCACAGAAGAAGCACCGGCUAACUCCGUGCCAGCAGCCGCGGUAAUACGGGGGGUGCGAGCGUUAAUCGGAAUUACUGGGCGUAAAGCGCGCGUAGGUGGCUUGAUAAGCCGGUUGUGAAAGCCCCGGGCUCAACCUGGGAACGGCAUCCGGAACUGUCAAGCUAGAGUGCAGGAGAGGAAGGUAGAAUUCCCGGUGUAGCGGUGAAAUGCGUAGAGAUCGGGAGGAAUACCAGUGGCGAAGGCGGCCUUCUGGACUGACACUGACACUGAGGUGCGAAAGCGUGGGUAGCAAACAGGAUUAGAUACCCUAGUAGUC
rnacentral:rRNA from 1 species